rnacentral:rRNA from 1 species
AUGUCGACCUCCACCGCUGUAGUUUCCUCCAGCCUCAACAACAAUGUCUCAGAACCUCUCACCAGAUCGAACUAUGUUCUCUGGCGUGCUCAAGCCCGCUCCCAGAUCAUGGGGGCCGGUCUCUUUGGAUACCUUGACAAAACCAUCGCCGCACCAGAGAAAACCCUAGUCAGCAAAACCUCCGAGGGCAAAGAUCAGGUCGUUCCUAACCCUACUUAUGCUCCUUGGUUGAUCCAGGAUCAACAAAUCAUCGCCUAUCUACUCCGCAAUCUCUCCAAGGAGGUGCUAGUUUAGGUUGCCUCCCUAGAUACAUCUCAUGCAAUCUGGACAGCCCUUGCCAAUAUGUUUUCUGCCCAGUCCCGCUCCAAAGCAAACCACGUUCGCAUCUCUCUCACCACCGCCCAGAAAGGAACCCAAUCUGCCGCCACAUACUUUGGUCACAUGCGAGGCCUUGCCGAUGAACUAGCUGCAGCCGGCAAACCUAUCAAAGAAAAUGAACUCGUCUCUCACAUCAUCUCUAGCUUGGACAUGGAUUACCAACCAAUCAUCUCCGCCCUUGAUGUUCUCCCUGAUGAUGUUUCUGUAGAUGAACUCUUCAGCAUGGUUGCUACCUUCGAUCAGAGGGUGGAGAUGUUCCAGGGCACGGGCGCCGGCGCCUUCAAGUCGUCGGCCAACGCCGCAUCGCGCGGCCGUGGAGGUGGCCCGCCCAAAGGCUACCGCGGCAACGGAGGCGGCGGCGGCUCCCGUCAUGAUUCUGGACAUGGCGGCGGCGGCUACUACCCCAACAACGGUGGCGGCGGAGGCCACUACGGCGACAACGGCAACCACUACGGAGGUGGUGGUGGCGGCCACUAC